rnacentral:lncRNA from 1 species
CCAAACACCACCAACCACAAGCACUACGUCAAACACCCACACCCACACAACCCAAGCCGUAACCGUUUUCUGAAGCUUAAACGAUAACAUAAGGACAAAGGUAGUUCACCUUUUUUCUAAGAUUCAAGGCUAGAUCUAGGCUUUAUCAGUGUUAGUUUUCAAAAAAUAACGGUGGAUUUGAGAACUAGGGAAAAAAAGGAAUUCAAAACAUGUAGUUUUUUUUAAAAAAGGAGGAGUUUCUUUUUCCGACGCGGCGGCGCCGCCACCCAUGGCCGGCCAGCCACUGCGCCGGUAAACAGCUUCCGGCGGUGUGUGGUUAGAGAGAGAAGAGAGCUUCUGAGUGUUUCUUUAGAGAGAGGAAGAAGUUGGAUUUAUGUUAUUUUAGGGUUUAUUUUCUAAUUUAUACUGCUGCCAUGACCAAUACUAUGGUGCACGCGGAUCUCUGUGUCCCCAUGGACCAUCAGGGUUGAACCGUUAGAUCCUAGAUCUAACGGCCAAUGUUAUCCCCUGUUUUGAUCAGAUGCGUCUCACCUCUUGGUUUUUACUUUGUUCUUCUUCUCUUGUGACGUCUGAUUAAGAUCUAAUGGCUAAGACUGUGUCUCCCCAUGAUCAAAUCUGGACGCUUCGAUCAAUCUGACGAUUCAGAUUUGAUCUGUUAAGCCCAC